rnacentral:snRNA from 1 species
AUGCUUGCUUCAACAGCACAUGUACUUAAAUUGGAAUGAUUCAAGGUCGGCAUGACCUCGGCACCAGUAUGAGACACAAAUUCACAAAAUGUUCAGUUUUUCA